rnacentral:rRNA from 3 species
UACGUAGGUGGCAAGCGUUGUCCGGAUUUACUGGGCGUAAAGGGAGCGUAGGCGGAUGUUUAAGUGGGAUGUGAAAUACUCGGGCUCAACUUGAGUGCUGCAUUCCAAACUGGAUAUCUAGAGUGCAGGAGAGGAAAGGAGAAUUCCUAGUGUAGCGGUGAAAUGCGUAGAGAUUAGGAAGAAUACCAGUGGCGAAGGCGCCUUUCUGGACUGUAACUGACGCUGAGGCUCGAAAGCGUGGGGAGCAAACAGG